AGAGUUUGAUCAUGGCUCAGAACGAACGCUGGCGGCGCGCCUAACACAUGCAAGUCGAACGAGAAAGCAGGAGCAAUCUUGUGAGUAAAGUGGCGUACGGGUGAGUAACACGUGGAUCAUCUACCCUGGAGUGGGGGAUAACUGAGGGAAACCUUAGCUAAUACCGCAUAACACCUACGGGUCAAAGGAGCAAUUCGCUUCAGGAGGGGGUCGCGGCCGAUUAGUUAGUUGGCGGGGUAAUGGCCCACCAAGACUGUGAUCGGUAUCCGGCCUGAGAGGGCGCACGGACACACUGGAACUGAAACACGGUCCAGACUCCUACGGGAGGCAGCAGUGGGGAAUUUUGCGCAAUGGGGGAAACCCUGACGCAGCAACGCCGCGUGGAGGAUGAAGUACUUCGGUACGUAAACUCCUUUCGAUCGGGACGAUUAUGACGGUACCGGAAGAAGAAGCCCCGGCUAACUUCGUGCCAGCAGCCGCGGUAAUACGAGGGGGGCAAGCGUUGUUCGGAAUUAUUGGGCGUAAAGGGUGCGUAGGCGGUUUGGUAAGUCUUAUGUGAAAUCUAUGGGCUCAACUCAUAGACUGCAUGAGAAACUGCCGGGCUUGAGUGUGGGAGAGGUGAGUGGAAUUUCCGGUGUAGCGGUGAAAUGCGUAGAUAUCGGAAGGAACACCUGUGGCGAAAGCGGCUCACUGGACCACAACUGACGCUGAUGCACGAAAGCUAGGGGAGCAAACAGGAUUAGAUACCCUAGUAGUCC
rnacentral:rRNA from 1 species